GGGCGGUUAGCUCAGCGGUAGAGCGCUUAUCUGAUAAGUAAGAGGUGAAUGGUUCGACACCAUUACCGCCCA
rfam:Candidate division WWE3 bacterium RIFCSPLOWO2_01_FTLL_37_15 rifcsplowo2_01_scaffold_26693, whole genome shotgun sequence.